rnacentral:lncRNA from 1 species
AGUCUUUAACUGAAGGGCACUGACUGGGUCACUGGUGAAGUUCCCCGCAGGAACUGAGUCAGACCCCAUCUCAGGGCCCUGCACAAGAUAGGUGCCUGCUCUAAGGCGUGGACCCUCGCCACAGCCCUGGCCCGUCUUGACGGGCGAGGGUUACUGUACUUGUCCCAACCGUACAGAUGAGAAAGCUGAGACUCAGGGCCAGCAACCCGGGUCCCAGCGGAGCGCCCGGCACACGCCGACACUUCAGCACCAGUGGCGGUGGCCACCACUGUGGGCGGAGAUGGCUGCGACGCGUGCGCAGAUCUCGAUCCCAAACUCCCUCCUGCCAGAAUCUGGACCCGAAUCCACCCAUUGCCCGUUUUCCGCUGCCGCUGGAGAGAAUCUCUGAGGUCCCCAGGAGAGCCUGCCUGCACGGAAGAGACGCCUCCUCGAAAAUGACAGGUCUUCUGAGUUCGUGAUGGGAGUUGGGCAGCAGUCGCAUACGAGCACCUGGAGAGUCCUUGCCAGUUCUUUGGGGAUGGGGAGCUCUUAAGACUGCCCUGAGACCGCCCUUUGACCUCAUUGUGGUCCUUUCUAGAUUAAAUGCUGUUUUCCAU